AUGGCUGUCGUCAGCUCGUGUCGUGAGAUGUUGGGUUAAGUCCCGCAACGAGCGCAACCCUCGUUCUAUGUUGCCAGCGGGUUAUGCCGGGGACUCAUAGGAGACUGCCGGGGUCAACUCGGAGGAAGGUGGGGAUGACGUCAAAUCAUCAUGCCCCUUAUGUCUUGGGCUUCACGCAUGCUACAAUGGCCAGUACAAAGGGCUGCGAUACCGCAAGGUGGAGCGAAUCCCAAAAAACUGGUCUCAGUUCGGAUUGGGGUCUGCAACUCGACCCCAUGAAGUCGGAGUCGCUAGUAAUCGCAGAUCAGCAACGCUGCGGUGAAUACGUUCCCGGGCCUUGUACACACCGCCCGUCAAGUCACGAAAGUCGGUAACACCCGAAGCCGGUGGCCUAACCCUUAGGGGGAGGAGCCGUCGAAGGUGGGACUGGCGAUUGGGACUAAGUCGUAACAAGGUAGCCGUACCGGAAGGUGCGGCUGGAUCACCUCCUUUCUAAGGAGCACUGGCACCUGAGCUUGCCGCCCAUCGUGGUGGGGGGCUCAUCCAAGGGUGUCCAGGUAGCCCUUUCGCAGCCGAUCGCGGCUGUGGGGGUUGCUCAAGGGUGGAACAUCGAUUAUUUGGCACUGCUCGUCUGGUGGUUGUUUGUGAGUACUGGUUCUGCUCUUCGGGGUGGGGUCAAGGAAAGCGGCGUAUCGGGUGGGUGGUGUCUGGCACGUUGUUGGGUCCUGAAGGCUCGGGCGUUAGUUUUGCCCGGUUUUUCAGUGCGGGCCUUGCCUGCUGGUCGUACCGCCGCAGUUCCUUGGAGUUUCUCCUGGGGGUGUGGUUGGCGCCGACUCCUGGUGGGGUUCCGCCCGUAUUUUGAGAACUACACAGUGGACGCGAGCAUCUUUGUGGCCAAGUUUUUAAGGGCGCACGGUGGAUGCCUUGGUACCAGGAACCGAAGAAGGACGUAGGAAUCUGCGAUAAGCCACGGGGAGUCGAUAACCAGACUGUGAUCCGUGGAUUUCCGAAUGGGGAAACCCGG
rnacentral:sRNA from 1 species